ACUUAACCUAAGGUUUUCAAAGACGACAGUCUUUAGAGUCAUAGAACGUUAUUUUUCCUCCUUUCUAGAUUCAGCAAAGUUCCCUUCUGAGCAUUUUGUAAUUACUGCCGACUUACUUACCGAACAUACUGUAGGGGUUUAUAAUUGAAAAUGAGCUAUUAACUGCAUAACUGAAAAAAAAAAUUCAAACUAGUGUAAUUGAAAUUAGUCUUGAGCAAAUGAAUACAAUUACCCAUUUUUAACUGUUGUUUUUGCUCAUAUGACAUAAUCAAAGGAUCAAAUUUUGAUCUGCAAAUGCAUGCAACUCCGUGCAAGUUCCAUAUGACUACCUGAGGGCAAAAUAUGGUUUAAAUUAACAUUGCAGGAUGUGCAGUUGCCAUUAACCUUGAAGGUACCAAACUUUUCCUCUGAUCUAGCUGUGUGAUUAUUAUAUAACUACAUUGCCUGCAGGAUCUUAAUUACUUGAUUUUCAUACAUAAAGUAAGGUAAAAUCAUGUAGAAGUCCUGCUUCUCUUCUCAACUUUGUUUCCUUCACACAGGCCCCAACUCUUGAGUUUAAUGUAAUUGAAUAGUGAUGACUUUAACUUUUGAUAUUACUUCUUUUUAAAUAUCCACUAAAUAUUCCCUUUUGACACCACAGUGAUAGGUCCCUUCUUAGAGCCACUCCUAACUUCUAAAUUCCUAAAAUAAUCCUCCCUUAAGGCAGAUUUACAUGUAAAAGAAAACAUGUCGAUAUAAUGUGAAUAGGAGGAGGUGGCCAGUAAGCAAUGGCUAAGAUUGCUUCAUGGUGGGAAAAUAAGGUGCGUUAGGUGUUGGGCUUACCCAAAUCUUUACGGUUAAAUGAGAACUUUAAAGACCACCAACUUUAUGACAAACUGCUUAAAUGCCCAAAUAUAAAUAGAGGUCAUUUCAGUUCAUGCAUAUUUUUUAUCUUUCUAACCCACCUGGCAGGGUCUGUAAGAGCAGCCAUAUCUGCAGACUUCCUGCUCCCCUGAGUCACUCUGGCAUGCAGUGUGAUAGAGACCUCAGUAGCCCCAUCAUCAGCAUUAGAGCAGGGAGUCUGCCGAUGGGUCUGACAGCACAGAAAAUACAUGGUUAUUUUAACAAGAAGAAUGCACACACACAACUGAACUGAAGUCUGAAUUAAUGUGACUAUCCUCAACACAGACCAGUUUUGCUGGCCAGGAUGAUAGACAUCUACUAUAAAACCCACCAAAUAAAACUCAGAAUUAUGAUGAAAUUUCAGGAUAUUGCAAUCAGCCAAUUAUGCUUAUGUGUUUCAAGUUCUCCAACUGCUACUGAAUGUUACAAAUAGUAUACCGGCUGUUUUAUGAAAUACACCAGAUUUGCACUAUAUUUGACCUUUUCAAGUCUUCUGGAAUCCCUCCCAUCUUCCACGACUUUUCAAAGAUAAAUGGAUAAUGGUGGAUUUAAGGCUGAUCCAUGGAUCUGGAUCCAAUUCUCCAAAGAGCUCCAUAGUAUAAUUAGUGAUUGUUGUGAUGUUGUGACAUUGCAAAGCAAAUUUAUGACAUAGCAAAGCAAACACAACAACACUGGUCUAGGCCUCCUUACAGGAUUAAAUCAUCCCUGUCCAAAAACUUUAAUCUAGAAAAAAUGAUGACUUUUUUGAGUUGACAGAGCUCAGAAAAAAAGAACACGCUCCAAGCAGAUAAACUUUGUUUACUACUUCACUGUAAAAACAGUCAGAUUAAGUCUUUAAAAAUUCAUUUACGAAAUAUGAGAAUCAAGACUUAUACAUGUUUCAAUAUUACACUAUAUGUUAAGACUAGCUGCAAAAUCUUGAAAGAAAGAGUUUAAAACUGAAACACAGGAGACCCUUAACUGUAGCAAUGCCUGUGAGCACUGCCAUAAAAAAAAAAUUCAUGAUAGCCCUGUUCUACCCUAGUUGUUUAUGGCAGAUUCAAAAAGGGAUUUUUAAAAUAAUAUGUGAUUAGAUUUCAAGUCAAAACUUUGACUUACUCUGCCCCUUUCAACUUGAGUGGUCAACAUUACAACCAUAGAAGAACCUUGUUCCCAUGUCAUCUGCCAAAAAUCAGGACAAGUGUUCGGUAAUGGACCCUGACAAGCAAUGUACUGGUUUAUUAUGCUGGAAGAAGAGAUUUCCAUCUAAAAGAAAACAAAUUAAUAAUUAUUUUAGUUAAACAACAUUACUUUCUUGACAACUUUAAUUUAUGCACCACAAAUUUAGACUUUGUCAGAUAAUUUAAAUUAGAUUUACAAAAAAUACAAGAAUGAAUCAGUAAUAUCAAUACUAUUAAACUGUUUACCGCUAGACCACAGAUAAAAGAGCACAUAAAACAAGAGAGACCUGUCAAGACUGAGAAAAAAACCAUCUUCUUUAAAACCGUUAAGAAACCGAAAUAUUUUUCAUUUAAUUAACUGACACACUUUAGUUGCCAAAUACCUGAGCUGUCAAGACCACAGGUCACAAUGAAGGCAUAUGAAAAAACGUGACAGUUCAGUGUCAAAAUAAUUUGGGUAGAUGUAUACACAUUACAUCCACUGUUUACAAUAUUUGAUCAUUUAAAUACUAAUCCUGGAAUCAAAUAUCUUUCCUUUGUAUUCCUGAAGUGAAAAGUUAGCUGUACUUUGUUAUUACUGACUAGAAGACACAGACCUACCAGGCUGAAUUCUGCUAAUAUUAGUCUUGAACACUGCUACAACAAUGUUGGGUUACUUUGUGCUAGUUUUAACUCUAAAUGGCUACUUUCUUCCAACAAUGACCCCAUCUGAAAUAAAAUUCAGGCUCUUGUUGCUGCACAUAAAAUCUCUCAAUUUGACUGAGAGUUGUUAGGAAAUUAUCAACCACUGUCUUUUAGAUAAACAAACCUACUAACAUUUAAGCCAACUGAUGAAAAUACUUCCCAUCUACUCCAGUCCAUGUUAGAUUUGAGAAACAUUUUCAAAAAGAGUGAAUUAUCUUAUUUUUACAUUUUCUGCUGAUAAGCUGCAGUGGCAAUUUAUAAAUCAACUGUUCUCCAGAAUGCUGCCACAAUGUACUUACAGUAUGAAUGACAUAAAAUUCAACUCACAUUUAUAUAAUUUGCAUUGAUGUAGUCAUCACUACUCUUCAAAAUGACCCGUGUAGCAUCAUCUGAAAAAAAUAUUUCAAGAACAUGUGUUAUUUCUCUACCAAGUACAAUUAAAUACAGUAUUUUAACUUAAAAACAUACAUACACAUACACACUUACAAGGCGAAAUGUCUCUGUAUCUAUUUUUGGAAAUGUUUUGAGGUAAUUUGGCACAAGACAUUGUCAUUCCAGGCUUCUUCCUAUACAGUUGCUAAAAGAGAAUAAAGCUGGUCAGAUAGUAACAGGCACAACAUAGGACUCGUUAGCUUUACAUUUACUACAGACCUUUUAAAAGCAUAUAAAACAAACAUGAAAACAUUUUCUAUUUACAAGCACAAUGCAACAUUCAUUUUGUUUUUUUUACAAGAUCGUUCGAGCAGCUAGACUAUGUGCUCUCUAAAUUUGCUCAAAAGGCACAGGCUGGGAAACUGAUUUGUAAGCUAUUGUAGCAAGCAUGCAUCUGGACAAUAGCCAAUACUACUGGGUACUGUGGGAAUAGCAGAGGCAGCCACUGCAUCUUAACACAGUGUUUUGGGCUAGCAGAUAUGUACUGUGAGUAGACCUUACUGGCUGUUCUACUGCUACACCCCGAGCCUGCCACCAUCAUCCUCCUACACAGUGUUGCAAUGAAUCUUAGUCUCCCAGUAAAUGGGGGGUGUGUGUGCAAGCAUUCCCUCUGCAGGAGUUCUGCUGCAUUCUGGUACUGGGGCAGUUAUGUGGAGAGGCCAGGAGUUGCUGCCCCUAACUGAACCAGCACACUUCUCAAUUCAAAGAAAUAUAGUGAAGAGUCCCACACUGCAUGGGAUAUUACACAGAUAACAUAUACCUCCUGAAGACUUUGGGUAAAAUGAAAAACACGUUAAUACAAAUUCCGUUUGGAUUAUUAAGAACAAGUGUAUAUCUCAUCAUAAAUUUGGAUGGCAUAUUAUAGGGAGAACAAACAGUCCCUGCCCUGAUGAUUUUACAGUUUAAGCUAGGCAAAGUGACAUAACUACUUUUAUUCAUGAAGUAUGCAUAAUGCUACUUCUAUUCUUUUUUCUUAAUUUUUCUUUUUAUGUAUUUAUGUUUAUUAAUUUCUAUUUUAUUUAGUUUGCAUCAAAGUACAAAUCAUUGUAAAAGAAACUUUGGAAGAUAUAUGUUCUGCAUUUCUCUUUAGCUAAUGUAUUUCAAUCAAAACAUAAGCAUGGAAACAGGAUUUUUCUUUCAACAGUU